GACGAACGCUGGCGGCGUGCUUAACACAUGCAAGUCGAACGGAAAGGCCCUGCUUUUGUGGGGUGCUCGAGUGGCGAACGGGUGAGUAACACGUGAGUAACCUGCCCUUGACUUUGGGAUAACUUCAGGAAACUGGGGCUAAUACCGGAUAGGAGCUCCUGCUGCAUGGUGGGGGUUGGAAAGUUUCGGCGGUUGGGGAUGGACUCGCGGCUUAUCAGCUUGUUGGUGGGGUAGUGGCUUACCAAGGCUUUGACGGGUAGCCGGCCUGAGAGGGUGACCGGCCACAGUGGGACUGAGAUACGGCCCAGGCUCCUACGGGAGGCAGCAGUGGGGAAUAUUGCACAAUGGGCGGAGGCCUGAUGCAGCAACGCCGCGUGCGGGAUGACGGCCUUCGGGUUGUAAACCGCUUUCGCCUGUGACGAAGCGUGAGUGACGGUAAUGGGUAAAGAAGCACCGGCUAACUACGU
rnacentral:rRNA from 1 species